GAUGAACGCUGGCGGCGUGCUUAACACAUGCAAGUCGAACGAGGAAGCCCAGCUUGCUGGGUGGAUUAGUGUCGAACGGGUGAGUAACACGUGAGUAACCUGCCCUUAACUCUGGGAUAAGCCUGGGAAACUGGGUCUAAUACCGGAUAGGAGCGUCCACCGCAUGGUGGGUGUUGGAAAGAGUUAUCGUUUUUGGAUGGACUCGCGUGCGAUCAGCUUGUUGGUGAGGUGAUGGCUCACCAAGGCGACGACGAGUAGCCGGCCGGGUAGGAUGACCCGCCGCAGGAGGACGGAGACAGGGCGCAGACUCAGCGGGGAGGCAGCAGUGGGGAAGAGAGGACAAGGGGGGCAACCCUGAUCCAGCCAUGCGGCGGGAGUGAUGACGGCCUUAGGGAUGUAAAGCCCUUGUCUCCGGGACGAUAAUGACGGUACCUGAGGAAUAAGCCCCGGCUAACUUCGUG
rnacentral:rRNA from 1 species